GUGUUUACUUUAGUAGCACAUAGACUAAAAUUGGAACAAUACAGAGAAAAUUAGCAUGGCCCUUGUGCAAGGGUGGCACACAAAUUUGUGAAGUGUUUCACAUUUUU
ensembl:snRNA U6 U6 spliceosomal RNA